rnacentral:rRNA from 1 species
UACGGAGGAUCCAAGCGUUAUCCGGAUUUAUUGGGUUUAAAGGGUGCGUAGGCGGUAGCUUAAGUCAGUGGUGAAAGUUUGCAGCUCAACUGUAAAAUUGCCAUUGAAACUGGGUCACUUGAGUAUGGUAGAGGUAAGCGGAAUGCGUUGUGUAGCGGUGAAAUGCUUAGAUAUAACGCAGAACCCCAAUUGCGAAGGCAGCUUGCUGGACCAUUACUGACGCUGAUGCACGAAAGCGUGGGGAU